UACAGAGGGUGCAAGCGUUGUUCGGAAUUAUUGGGCGUAAAGCGCGUGUAGGCGGCUUUUGCAAGUCGGGUGUGAAAGCCCUCAGCUCAACUGAGGAAGUGCGCCCGAAACUGCAGAGCUUGAGUACCGGAGAGGAUGGUGGAAUUCCCCAAGUAGAGGUGAAAUUCGUAGAUAUGGGGAGGAACACCGGUGGCGAAGGCGACCAUCUGGACGGAUACUGACGCUGAGACGCGAAAGCGUGGGUAGCAAACAGG
rnacentral:rRNA from 1 species